rnacentral:rRNA from 1 species
UACGUAGGGUGCGAGCGUUGUCCGGAAUUAUUGGGCGUAAAGAGCUUGUAGGCGGUUUGUCGCGUCUGCCGUGAAAAUCCGGGGCUCAACCCCGGACUUGCGGUGGGUACGGGCAGACUAGAGUGUGGUAGGGGCGACUGGAAUUCCUGGUGUAGCGGUGAAAUGCGCAGAUAUCAGGAGGAACACCGAUGGCGAAGGCAGGUCUCUGGGCAUUAACUGACGCUGAGGAGCGAAAGCAUGGGGAGCGAACAGG